rnacentral:rRNA from 1 species
AUUGAACGCUGGCGGCAGGCCUAACACAUGCAAGUCGAGCGGAUGAAGGGAGCUUGCUCCUGGAUUCAGCGGCGGACGGGUGAGUAAUGCCUAGGAAUCUGCCUGGUAGUGGGGGAUAACGUCCGGAAACGGGCGCUAAUACCGCAUACGUCGUGAGGGAGAAAGUGGGGGAUCUUCGGACCUCACGCUAUCAGAUGAGCCUAGGUCGGAUUAGCUAGUUGGUGGGGUAAAGGCCUACCAAGGCGACGAUCCGUAACUGGUCUGAGAGGAUGAUCAGUCACACUGGAACUGAGACACGGUCCAGACUCCUACGGUAGGCAGCAGUGGCGAAUAUUAGACAAUGGGCGAAAGCCUGAUCCAGCCAUGCCGCGUGUGUGAAGAAGGUCUUCGGAUUGUAAAGCACUUUAAGUUGGGAGGAAGGGCAGUAAGUUAAUACCUUGCUGUUUUGACGUUACCAACAGAAUAAGCACCGGCUAACUUCGUG